UACGUAGGGGGCAAGCGUUGUCCGGAUUUAUUGGGCGUAAAGAGCGUGUAGGCGGCCAUACAGGUCCGUUGUGAAAACUGGAGGCUUAACCUCCAGACGUCGAUGGAAACCGUAUGGCUAGAGUCCGGAAGAGGAGAGUGGAAUUCCUGGUGUAGCGGUGAAAUGCGCAGAUAUCAGGAAGAACACCCGUGGCGAAGGCGGCUCUCUGGGACGGUACUGACACUGAGGCGCGAAAGCGUGGGGAGCGAACAGG
rnacentral:rRNA from 1 species